AGCGAACGCUGGCGGCAGGCCUAACACAUGCAAGUCGAGCGAAGAAAAUUCCUUCGGGGAUGGUUAAAGCGGCGGACGGGUGCGUACAACAUGGAUAACCUACCAUAAGGUCUGGGAUAACCUCGGGAAACCGAAGCUAAUACCAGAUAAGACCACAUUAUCUGCGGAUAAAGGGGUAAAAGUUUUUCGCCUUUUGAUGGGUCCAUGCUCCAUCAGGUUGUUGGUGAGGUAAAAGCUCACCAAGCCUAAGACGGAUAGCCGGCCUUAGCGGGUGAUCGGCCACACGGGGACUGAGACACGGCCCCG
rnacentral:rRNA from 1 species